CUCAGCUACACACAGGGUAUUUCAGAGACUUGCAACUGAGAAACUGAAUGUUCCAUCUCCAGAUAGCCAGCUUCAUUACGUCUUCUUUCCUUCACUCCAUUUUCUGCUUUUUUCAUCUGUUAACAGUUCUUGUUGCUCCUCAUUUUAGGGCUUCCAAGACAUCCUCAAAUACUCUCUUGCUGGUGUUAUCAAACCAAGCUGGGGUCUGCUCACUCAGUGCGGCAAAGCCAAACACUGACAUAGGGACUGCAGUGAGAGAAAGUGAGGCAUUUAUGGCAAGGCACCAAGCAAGAAGAGGUGAGCAGCUAACGCUGAAGACUCCAACUUCCCAAUGACUUACAGAUGAGAAAAAUCAAGAAUGAGGAGAGUUAGUACCAUGCAGAUGGUCCCAGGAUGAAACCAGAAUAUGAACUCAGGCAGUCCAGCUGCUCAACCUGUGUUCUUAACCUUCAUGCAUAUCAUGUGCCAGCCCUGUGUUGUGAUGGGUACUUGGGAAGAUGCCCACAAAAAGCACAUGAUACCUGUUCUCAAGAAGCUCACAGGCUGACGUAACAAAGUGCCACAAACUGGGUGGCUUAAAACAACAGAAAUUUAUUACUGCAUAGUUCUGGAGACUAGAAAUCUGAAACCAAGUUGUUGGCAGGUCCACGCUCCCUCAGAACCCUCUAGGGGAGAAUCCUUCCUCGCCUCUUCCAGCUCAGGUUCUAGCCACCUCCCGCAUUCAGAUACAACCACCAUCGCAGGUUGACUGUGUUCCCUGUCGUUUAAUCUUUCUCUACUUUGACAGGUUUCUUGGAGUAAGAUGAAGAUAUGAACUGACAUCUUUGAUGGAAACCAUGGAGCAAAAAUCAGGCCGUUUGUGAGGAUAUCUUCAGACACCUUGUCAAGCUGAAGUCACAGCAGAGUGGUAUCUGGCCCUACCCAAAAAUCUCAGCCAUCCUUUGAGAAGGUAGGUUAGAAAAUGCAAUUCUGUGGAAAGUCUGAUUAUGGGGAUAGGAGCCCAGUGCAAUGUAGCUUCUAUCCAACUCCUGAACUUCUAUGUGAGUGCCCUCUUCCCUCAGAAAGCCAGCGUGCUCCUCUAACUGGACACUGCAUGUGAACAUUUGCUGCUUCUUUAUUUUUUCUGUUUCUACUCCAAAUAUGGAAAGUCUUUUGGUGUCAGAUGAGCAGAGGAUAUGGCCAGUGGGUAUGGCCACGAGGCUGGAACACAGAUCCUGGGUAAAAAGCUUAGAGUAAGCAGAGAAAAUCUACCAUCUGCAAAUAAAAUCUAGCAAAACCUAUGUAUUUGAUACCUGUGUUUUCAUGUUUUAAAAAUGAAUAUUUUCUUUACAAAAUCCUAUGUCCCAGGGUUUUUCUUAAUGUAUUUGAAUAAAACUCUGGAUUUGAUAUCCUGAAAUCACAAUAGUUUUCCCAUUCAGGAACCCAACCGAUUCCUAUUGCAUAAAAGAGGGUAUAUCUGAGUUUUCAAGCAACACAAGUUACCAGAUAUUUUUCAUCUUCUCUGAGGACUGAGGAGGAAGAGACAGAUAUACCCAGAGGAUAGAAGAACAAUGUACAUUAUUUAGACGACGGAAUUUUCUCUGUGUUCAAAUUAUUAAGCUCUGAGAUCUUCUCUCAGUGCCCAUCAGAAAGGGGGCACCCAGAAACACCUCAUGAUGCAGAUAAUAAAAUGGUCAUAAACACUGGAAGAGUUUGCCCUGAAAAACAAAAUUCUUUUAAGUAGAUUGAAUAAAUAGGUGGCCAUAGAGGCAAAGGAAUUGCCUGUAUAAAUAAUGAAAUAUUCUUUAGCUUUGUUAUUCCAGAAAUGCACACAAUAUCCAGAAUUAAUAUUCCAGAAUCCCAUGAAUGUUUUUAUCAUAUUUUCUUCCACCUUACCAGAUAGUACUUGCAUAUUUAUGAUACACGGGGAUUUAAAUAUCUUUUUAAAAACCCACUCUUGUCCAUGAGAAAACAAUAACUGAAUGCAAGGGUCCCAUACUUUUUCUGUAAAGGGCCAGAUAAUACAUGUUUUUUGGCUUACAUGCCAGAUGGUUUCUGUCACAACUACUCAACUCUGCCAUUACAGUGCAAAAGCAGCCAUAAACAAUAAGUAAACAAAUGAGCGUGGCUGUGUUCCAAUAAAACUUUAUUUACUAAAACAGGUGGUGGGCCAGAUUUGGCCCACUAGCUAUAGCUUGCUGAUUCCUGAUCCGGAAGAAUGACUCCCAAUCUAUGGACUACAGACUCAUGGCAGAUCUGCAAUUUAUAGAAAAGAAAAUUCAAAUCCAUAUGCACACCAAGAAC
rnacentral:lncRNA from 10 species